AGUUCUCAGGGCGGAGUGGAAUUCUCCACCGGUGGUGACAGUCCACGAGCUAACAGCUGAUUUGGUGAAAAUCCAAAACCGACGGUAACAGUCCGGAUGAAAGAGAAUG
rnacentral:ncRNA from 1 species